UACGAGUGCCCCAAGCGUUAUCCGGAAUCAUUGGGCGUAAAGGGUGCGUAGGUUGUUUCAUUAGUCUUCUGUCAAAUUCUUCGGCUCAACCGGGGGUCCGCAGAAGAAGCGGUGAAACUAGAGGAUGUGAGAGGUGAAUGGAACUCAUGGUGUAGGGGUGAAAUCCGUUGAUAUCAUGGGGAACACCAAAAGCGAAGGCAAUUCACUGGAACAUUCCUGACACUGAAACACGAAAGCGUGGGUAGCGAAUGGG
rnacentral:rRNA from 1 species